AUUGAACGCUGGCGGCAUGCUUUACACAUGCAAGUCGAACGGCAGCACGAAAGAGCUUGCUCUUUUGGUGGCGAGUGGCGAACGGGUGAGUAAUGCAUCGGAACGUACCGAGUAAUGGGGGAUAACUGUCCGAAAGGAUAGCUAAUACCGCAUACGCUUUGAGAAGGAAAGUGGGGGCUCUUCGGACCUCACGUUAUUCGAGCGGCCGAUGUCUGAUUAGCUAGUUGGUGGGGUAAAGGCCUACCAAGGCGACGAUCAGUAGCGGGUCUGAGAGGAUGAUCCGCCACACUGGGACUGAGACACGGCCCAGACUCCUACGGGAGGCAGCAGUGGGGAAUUUUGGACAAUGGGCGCAAGCCUGAUCCAGCCAUGCCGCGUGACUGAAGAAGGCCUUCGGGUUGUAAAGGACUUUUGUUAGGGAAGAAAAGGAUAGUGUUAAUACCAUUAUCUGCUGACGGUACCUAAAGAAUAAGCACCGGCUAACUACGUG
rnacentral:rRNA from 1 species